CAGGAGCUCUUCCCACCGAGUGCAGCGGCAGUAUUCAUGCACGCUAGGAAUACUCAUGAGUAAAGGCUGGAGAAAAGGCCACAGAAGAAGUGAUUAUGGGAAUAAAGGGAAUAAAUACGUGCAUGAUCCAAUGUGCACGCCACAGACUGUCUUCCAGUCACUGUGGAAUACUGCUUCCUCUUGUCUGAUUAAGUGACAGCUGGCUGAGAAACAGUAUUUAGCUCUACAUGCGAAGAAAAUAAAAUGUCCUAAUUAAUUUUCUGCAUCACUGAAAUGGAGCUUCAGUGAAACGGGGAAGGCAGACAGCUCGUGUCAAGGAGAGUGAUCCUAGAACUCAGCCUCCAGCACUAUUUUGGAAGCAAAAGUUCUGGGAAGCAUUUACUCUCCAUCCUGCCUCCUUGAAGCUCAGAGCCCAGUGAAGUGGCAGUACAGGACACCCAGGGAUGCGGGAGUCUGAAUUCUCUUUUCAGCAUCGCUCCUCCCUGCAGCCAAUUCCAUCGGUAUCGGCAGGAAAGAACCAGUGCUAAUCCUCCUGCAGUGAGUGAAAUUCCUUCCUGCUGUAUGAUGGGGGGACGAGAAAUUGCAGGCGGAACAAGUCAGAGACAGACGACCUGGGACCUGGGAGUCGGGAAACCCUGUUUUCGCUAACUCUCGAGCUGUAGUUGCCUUGGAGGCCCGAGCCCUGCAAACGCGGAGGUCCCACGGCACGGCAGACCAGACUGGUGGGAAGGCAGGGAGGAUCUACCAGACCACAAAUGGGCAAAGAACUGAAAGCAUUUUGUGACUGAUGUCAAAUGAUUGUGUUGCUGGCAUGAAACACUGAACAACAAAAACCCCAUCAUUUGGGGCCAAUCAAAGAUGUCUUGUGCAGCCCCAAGCUGAAACACUUUUGGUUUGUUUGAUCCUUUGAAAAAAAAACACGAUCACAUUUAAAAAUGGAGUAUUUUUGAAUGGGGAAAAAAUAAAAGGACUAAAACAUUUUGUUUUGUUUUCCAAGUUUUGACCAGCUCUCUCAUCUGAAACUGUUUUGUGAAUUUGCCUCAAAUCAUUUUUGCCAAAGCAAAAAUUGCAACGUGUCUGGCUUUAACUGGUUUUGUGUGUGUAUGUCACACCAUAAAUGCAUCUAAAGUGGUGCAUUUCCCUCCGAUGCUCCAGUUGGGAUGAAGUGGCCCCGGUAUUGCUGUCGGCUCAGCGCCUGGCUGUGGCUGCACCGUGAGUGUUGUGUCCCCGCCUGCGAGCACACAUGCGUACUGCGGGGCUGGGGCAGGCCUGGAGAAAGCCGUAGAGACACAAUAAAAGGGAUGGCAGUUUCCACAGAGAUCACUUAAAAAUUAUCAUGGACUUUUUUGCUCUUGGCAAGAGGACGGCACAGAAUGAGCUCAGCGUGUCAGCCAGCAGCACCCAUUGCUGAGCAGAUACUGGGACAAGGUGAACUCAAAUAUACCAAUAGCAUCUAUCUUACCUAAAGCACCACAGUGCUGCACAACCUGGACAUCCUCUUGGCUUGACACCAGCCUCUGAAGUACAGAUGUACUGUGAGUCCCGUUUUGCAGGUGUAGAGGGGAGCACAACCUUGGAAAGGUGCCUGUGGCCACGCCGGUUGGUGGGUGCAGGAGGAGGAUGGUGUCUGCGUGCAAGCUGUGGGCAGCCGGCGACCCGGAGGGCACCAUUGGAUACGAGAUGUCUUUGCAAAUGCAGACCCUCAGGCCCACGGGGGUUCGGCCAGCAGUUGGGACUGAAGUUCUGGGAUUGUCAGCAGAGACCUGAGUGCUUCAGAGCACCCGGAGAGGCUGGGGAAGGUGGCAGCCCGCCCUGGACCGGCCCCUCUCCCGUGCGCAAGGCUGGCAUCUUGCUCGUGGCUUUCUCAGAAUCAAAGCAUUUAGCCACUUCUUGCAAUGCUGAAACAAAUGUAGUUAUUCACAUAAUUGGGGACAAGAAGCCCCCUGCUGUUUCCCCCAGAAAAUCGGGCAAAACAACCCACUGCAACAAUGCAAAAAAGAAAUACAUUUGUCAUCCCAGCCCUACACUGAGAAUGUGCAGAAAGUCUCUCGCUUGCUCUGCAGCCUGGUGCCAGCCACACACUUUCUCCAGAAGUGCUUGUACAACAGAGCAGAAAAUCAAAGGACUUUUUUUUCUUGUUGUUAAAUAAAACACACAGGCCCAAACCAGGAAAAUCUCUGAAUCCAGACUCAUAGGGAGCAGCCCAGCCACAACCUCUUUCCUCAGCUGCCUUUGAAGAGAGUCAAUCACAGCUGUGAUGAGGUGCCUAGUCCGCCUGGUUCUCCUGUCCUUAGCUCUCCCUGCGUCGCUCCUUGGCAGCUCAUGGAGCUGAAAAUCAGUGCGGCAGCAGUAGCCCUUUCCCAUGGGAACACAUACCUGCUGCGAAGUGGAGCUGGCAAGUGCCCCAGCACAUGAGAAGGCCAAAAUGAUUUUGCCCUCCCCUCCUGAGAGCUGCUUCUGCUCUCCCGGAGCAGCUGGCACCGAGCACGCCAACAGUUAAACCAGAGUCACCCGGAUAGGAAAGCGUAAAGACGAGAAACUUUCCUUUCCCAGACAGAGCAUGAGUCUGCAUCGGUGCAGCUACCACCAGUGGAGCUGCUCCAGGCCUUGACAUGGAGACAAUGCAGUUGCCUCCGUGUCAAUUGGAUUAACUCUUUUACAGCUUGUUUUCAAGCUCAGAAAUAAUCAAUAGAAGUAACAUACUAAUUUAUUUUUUGCUUAUUUUUCUGUAAUUUUAUGCAAUUUUAAUACAUGUGAGCUUGGUGACAACCUCAGCUGCCAGGCAGGCAGUCAAACUUGGGGAAUCGCUAACCUCAACUUCAAGAAUUUGACCAUCCAAAAAUCCAGAGAUUACUUUAAAAGUCAUGAAAUCUUUAAGACUAACACAUUCUGUGGUUGCUUUCAUUUGAUGUCGUGUUUUCUCAGCCUUUGACAUACUCCAGAGUCACUUUUUCAGACUUUCUCUGCAACCACGGAGGUAAAAGCGUAUUUUUAAUUACAGCUUGUAUUGCUUAUUCCAGGAACUGGCACUGUCAGUCAAUAUUUGAAAGAUCACGGUAGGAUUGUUGCAGACAGCUAUACUGGACCAAUUCUUAUUUACAGAGGAAUUCAAAUUGUAUUGAGUUUAUCCCUGUUCAGCUAAAUCGAUGUUGCCAUGCAUACAGCUGACUAAAGUCAAAGUUGAAAGAUGAGCGUAUGCUCAGUUCUUUGUUGAAUCAGGGGCCGAUGUCUUGCCUGUCACCAGCCUGGGUUGCUGUAACUGGACGAGUCCCACAUCAGUGCUGUGCAGUUUGUUGCAGUUCAUGUCUUUGCACGUAUUCAUAGCACCACAUACGCUAUACACUUAAGAGUUCACCUGCUAUAUGGCUAAUGCAAAUACCUAAACUGGUAAUGGUACAUUCCGAGAAGAAGGGAAAGUUUUAGGAAGAUUAAAACUUUCAUGGGUUUAACCCGAUCUCUCAUAAGGAGGAAAGCACAUUAUCUCAGAAGAGCUCAGUGUUAUGAGGAAAUGGCCUGAGUUAAUCAUGGAUCAGAUCUGGAUAUGUCAAGUCUUGGCCAGCAAUAGUUGCAGUGGAGGCAAAAGUUCUUUCCUGUUGCACAAGGGAGCACGCACAGGGAGAGAUGGUGGUGGUGGUGUGGCCCUGGCACAAGUCAAUGCUGGGAACUUGAAUUUUAGACUUUGCUUCAGUGAUGAGUAAUCUCUUUGCAUAAUUCCCCUCUGGAUGUUUUGGAUCCAGCAACAUGUUGUUUCUCCUCUAGUGGCAGAUUUUGGAAGGGCUUUCCUAUUAAUUCGUGUCAAAUCUAGUUGGGCUUCAAAUAUAUCUCAGUAAAAUGAAAAAAAAAAGCUCAUAUUUGGAGACUUAGACAAAUAUUAUACAAAUGUUUUUGGAAGAAUGAGUCUUUCUUAUUUUAAAACAUAUGUGUUUCCCCCUUUGUAUCUGUUGUGUUUUUGUUUUUCCUGCAAACUUCUUAGCAAAUGUGCUGGAAUGAACAAUCUAUUUCAAGCAAAAAGAGCAAAUAUUUUCAAAUACAUUGUAAUGGUUGAUUCCUCAGACUAAAUAUCUGAUUUAUGCAUUUGUUAUCCCUCCUGUGAGGGCACCGUAGUAUUGCCCAAGACUGAGAAAUCUGAUAAAAACUGUUCCAAUUUUGCAUACCAAAUUCUGCCAAUGAUCUUCUUACUAUAAGCUACAGCCCCAAAAUUGGUUGAACAAGAGUUUGGUACAAUGACUCAUUUCUAGGGAAGUUAUUAUAUCUCCUCCGAAGGAUUUUGGGGGGAAGCGUAGGGGCAGAAAAGAGGCAAAAUUCAUCAAAUGCACAUUACCGAUGAUUCACCCCCUUCUAACUUCCAGGCAGCUAACCCAGCCAUCUGCCACCAUGAUUUUAGAAGAGGUAGUUUAUGUCCAGGCCUUUCCAGCCAAAAACAUCCACUCCAAGAACUGAGGACUGAACAGAGCAGCUCAUGAAUAUGUGAGUGAGGAGGUAUUUUUGAGCCUGAUCUGUCCUGAACGCUGCUCCUGUCCCGCUGCCUACAGUUCCAUCUUGGACCAGCUGCAAGAAGAAGCUGGACAACGACAGGGUUGCUGGAGACAUUACAGCUCCUUCGUUCCCACCUCUCUGACUGUUGUCAGUAGGUCAGCAACCACGAACUGGGUGCUUCAGCCGAAUCCUCCUCUGAGCAGCUGGGGGGCGGGAGGUGUCCAGUGGUGUCUGGGUUAAGAAGCACUGUGCUGCACCGGCACUGUCCUCUGCGAAGGGUUGAGGAGGGCAAGGAGGUAGAAAUGGGAGAAUUCGCUUGUGAUAGGAACAGCCUGAGAAACGCUGACCCAGGAGAAUAGCGGUCAGGAGAAAAUUAUUUGAGCUCUUAGUUGGAAUCAGGAAGCUUUUUUUUUUUUUUUAAAUAACGCUUUUAGAAUCACAGUGCUUGUUUAAUAUUUUUUAGUUACGAAAUUUAACUCAGGUCUUAAAUUAUACAGUGAGAGAUCUUAGAGAGCAGGAGACACGGAUCAGCUGCUUGGGAGUUUUGUGUGCUUCGCUAACAUGGGCACGUCGUUACCCGCAUAAAAUCACAGCUUGACAGAAUGCAAAGGAGUCACUGCGUUUAAUUUACAGUGCUUGUAGCUCCUGCUAAAUGCACCUUUCUUCUGAAGUCAGUUGGAGUUUUGACUUGAUGCUGACACUUGUUUGUCAAAGAGCAGACUGGCAUGAAAACGUUACCGUCAUGUUGAGCUGGUGGCUUGGUUUGGGCAGGAGGCAGCAUUCCCGUCAAAGCCCAGAUGCAAUUUGUUUUUGCAAAGCAAAUACUUGUUUUUCCAAACUGAAAAAAAAUCUGAAGAAUAAAAUCUUGGUCCAUAUCUAUCAAGAGGUUUCAUUUAGUCAAUUAAAAGAUGUUUGAUUUGGAUUCAGACUUUAAAAACAGAACAAAACAGGCCAAAUCAAUUCCCCCCUUUUUCAUUCUGUCUCACAGUCCUGAAACUUUUAUCUCCAAAAACAUCAAAAGGGAGCAAGAGCUUUUCAGGUUGAGAGAACCAGCAGAAAACAGCCUUGUUGUUCAGUGAGUUUUAUGAGGCAGAAAAGGUUUGUCAAAACUCCUAGCAACUACUAAUUAUUGCUAAUACCAGUGUUCUUUAAAUCACCAACUAUCAGCAUGAUCAAAUCACAGAUCUAACUCAGUGUUAGGAAACAAUCCUCUGUACCUGAUACUCUUUGUUAAACAAACCAAAACUAAAAAAAAAAUCAGACAUGCAUGUUAAUUGUUAACUCCACCAAGCAAAUAGCCUCUUCUCUUCCCACAUGCUUGGGCACAAACAAUGCAAACCUUUGCGCAGCAAGAGGUCAGGUUUUUUAUCUGUCCCUGAUGUUACCAGAAAUGACAUAGUUCUUGCCGUUUAGCUUCUUGGAUUUUGACCUACCGGCUUAGAGACCUCAGUCAUCAUUGCUUAAAUCAGCAGUCCUGGGUGGGAGCCAAUGGUGAGGAGAUUUUUUUAGAGCACAGAAUCACAUUGCUUAAAACUGGACAAAUAAUUCCCAUGAUUAAGCUAAGAGGCUAACUACACAAUCCAGGGGAAAAGAGGCUCCUUUGGAGGGCGCCUUAGGGAUUUAGGUGCUCUGAAUCAUCCUCCCAGGAAACCUGUGUAGAAACCUAUGCCAGUCUACGUGGUCCUUUCCUGAUUUUGGCCACGCCACUUCUAAGCAGUUUGGUUGUGCAAGUGAAAAACAUAAGUUGAAGAUUACGGUUCAUUCUGCCACUUGCUAUAGUUAUAUUGGGGCCUUUCAAAACUGCCAUAUUUGAAACUCAGAGAAGAAACCUAAACUGAAUUGAUCGGUCAAUGCUCUUUAAUGUCGCUUAGCCACUGCCUGUGUUGCAAGAAUACCUUUUCAUCCCAAGCAAUUUAAUGCCUUUACUUGUAGCAGCCCUCCCCACACCCUUGCCUCCGUGUUUGCAGACACUUGCAGCUGAGCCCCGCAAAGAAGCAACGGCAGCACUAUCCUGCCUAUUGCUAGGAGCCCUGAGACCCAGCACAGGGCGUUUUGGGGAAAGUCUUUGACCUGUUUUGGAGCAGUUAUGGCCAUGGCAGUGAUUUAGCUCAGGGACUGCAAUCUAUUCUUCACUUUAUCGUCAGCACUAAAACCAAACUGUUUACAGGAUGCCUAAUGCUUCCUACUUCUGUUUUGUUAAGGUCACACUUUUUUCCAAAGAGUUUAUUCAUAACAACUUUCCGCUGUGCUGUCCACCAACCCUUCUGACUAAUAACCAUUUUUCCAUAGUUAAAAAUGAGGAAUGGAAAAAAACCCCUCUAUCUUAGUCUAUUGAUAUAAGUUAGUAUAAAAAGAUAAUGCUCUAUUUUUAUUCUUUACUGAAUCCAAGCCUAACAAUCUGCAAAAGUAAGAUAACCUUACAGCUAAAGUUACCAAUAUAUUACUAAACAAAUAAUUGGAGACAAUGAAAACAGAUGCAUAAAUAAUGAAUGGGAAGGAAAUAAGUAGUAUAAAAGAAUGGUAGUUUUUUAUUCUCUCUUUUUAACAUGACUAGCUGAUCCAAUAUUAUAAAUGCUAUUAAAUAUCUUACUGAAAAAGGAUUUUAACCAUGCUACUCAAUAGACUAUAUGUUUUUUUACCUUCAUUCGGCAUUCAAGCUGAGUUAGCCAUCUUUACAGUCAUUUAAGUUACGAAUCACUGCCAUGAUAAAUUGCUCCAAAAAAAAUCCUUUGUUAUCAACUAAUAAGGCAGGCUUUCAGAUGCAAACCAGGAUUUUAUCCCUGACCUUUACAACACUGCAGUAAAUUCUCUCAUUCUCUCACGUCUCAGAGAUGUGGCCUGCUAUAACAUGUGGCUAUUUGGUUGUGGUGUCCCCCACAAGAAAUUAUCCACGUAAAAAUCCCCUGGGGAUUGUUCUAAGAAGCAGGUUUGUCCAAGCGAUUGGGAUAUUUUCACUACUGCUGACAGAGAAUGGAGGUAGGUAGCUCACGUGUGUUAGAGCUGGGCUCUGGUGACGACCAUGCUGCUUUGAGAAUAGUAAAGCUUACUGGGAAAGGACAACUUUCUGCUGCACUGCUUUGCUGAAUCAGGGCCUUAGGACUGGCUGGUGAAAAUGAGCGAUUUGCAAAGUGCCAACUCAGUUUAUACUUCUGCUAAGUGACACAACACUGCUCUUGCUUAAUAAGGAAACACAUGAGCUGUGGGGUACCUCUCCUCCUUCAUCUUGAAACAAAUGUGGAUGUCUAUUCUUGUGUGCAUUGUAUGAACCUGUGCUACUGAUUUCCAUGCAUUUAUUUUACUUUUUCCCCACACAGACUAUUCCUAGAGAGGACCUUUUGGAGCUGGAAACACUAAUGCAGCGGGAAGAACAUUAUUUCCUGUCCAACA